GCUGUCGUUCAGUGGUAGUACAUCUGCUUUGCAUGCAGAAGGUCCCAGAUUCAAUCCCUGGCAUCUCCA